rnacentral:rRNA from 2 species
CCCUAGUAACGGCGAGUGAAGAGGAAAGAGCUCAAAGUUGGAACCUGUUUGGCCUAGCUAAACCGGAUUGUAGACUGUAGAAGUGUUUUCCAGGCAAGCCGAGUAAAUAAGUCCUUUGGAACAGGGCAUCAUAGAGGGUGAGAAUCCCGUCUUUGGCUUGAGCAUUUGCCUUUUGUGAUACGCUUUCAAAGAGUCAGGUUGUUUGGGAAUGCAGCCUAAAUUGGGUGGUAAAUCUCACCUAAAGCUAAAUAUUGGCGAGAAACCGAUAGCGAACAAGUACCGUGAGGGAAAGAUGAAAAGAACUUUGAAAAGAGAGUUAAACAGUAUGUGAAAUUGUUAAAAGGGAACCGUUUGGAGCCAGACUGGCUUGUCUGUAAUCAAUCUAGGCUUCGGCCUGGAUGCACUUGCAGGCUAUGCCUGCCAACGACAAUUUGACUUGAGGGAAAAAACUAAGGGAAAUGUGGCCCACUUGUGGGUGUUAUAGUCCCUUAGAAAAUACCUUGGGUUGGAUUGAGGAACGCAGCGAAUGCUUUUUGGCGAGUUUUCCAGGAAGGUUUUCUGAGGUACUACGGUAUCAAGGUUGAUCUUUUUGGUUAUACUUCUAUUCGCUUAGGUUGUUGGCUU